rnacentral:rRNA from 1 species
UACGAGGGGGGCGAGGCGUUGUUCGGAAUUAUUGGGCGUAAAGGGUGCGUAGGCGGUUUUGUAAGUCUUAUGUGAAAUCUAUGGGCUCAACUCAUAGACUGCAUGAGAAACUGCAGGGCUUGAGUAUGGGAGAGGUGAGUGGAAUUCCUGGUGUAGCGGUGAAAUGCGUAGAUAUCAGGAGGAACACCUGUGGCGAAAAGCGGCUCACUGGACCAUAACUGACGCUGAUGCACGAAAGCUGGGGGGAGCGAACAGG